GAGUUUGAUCCUGGCUCAGGAUGAACGCUGGCGGCGUGCCUAAUACAUGCAAGUCGAGCGAACAGACGAGGAGCUUGCUCCUCUGACGUUAGCGGCGGACGGGUGAGUAACACGUGGAUAACCUACCUAUAAGACUGGGAUAACUUCGGGAAACCGGAGCUAAUACCGGAUAAUAUAUUGAACCGCAUGGUUCAAUAGUGAAAGACGGUUUUGCUGUCACUUAUAGAUGGAUCCGCGCCGCAUUAGCUAGUUGGUAAGGUAACGGCUUACCAAGGCAACGAUGCGUAGCCGACCUGAGAGGGUGAUCGGCCACACUGGAACUGAGACACGGUCCAGACUCCUACGGGAGGCAGCAGUAGGGAAUCUUCCGCAAUGGGCGAAAGCCUGACGGAGCAACGCCGCGUGAGUGAUGAAGGUCUUCGGAUCGUAAAACUCUGUUAUUAGGGAAGAACAAAUGUGUAAGUAACUAUGCACGUCUGACGUACU
rnacentral:rRNA from 1 species